rnacentral:rRNA from 1 species
CCUACCUAUAAGACUGGGAUAACUUCGGGAAACCGGAGCUAAUACCGGAUAAUAUUUUGAACCGCAUGGUUCAAAAGUGAAAGACGGUCUUGCUGUCACUUAUAGAUGGAUCCGCGCUGCAUUAGCUAGUUGGUAAGGUAACGGCUUACCAAGGCAACGAUGCAUAGCCGACCUGAGAGGGUGAUCGGCCACACUGGAACUGAGACACGGUCCAGACUCCUACGGGAGGCAGCAGUAGGGAAUCUUCCGCAAUGGGCGAAAGCCUGACGGAGCAACGCCGCGUGAGUGAUGAAGGUCUUCGGAUCGUAAAACUCUGUUAUUAGGGAAGAACAUAUGUGUAAGUAACUGUGCACAUCUUGACGGUACCUAAUCAGAAAGCCACGGCUAACUACGUGCCAGCAGCCGCGGUAAUACGUAGGUGGCAAGCGUUAUCCGGAAUUAUUGGGCGUAAAGCGCGCGUAGGCGGUUUUUUAAGUCUGAUGUGAAAGCCCACGGCUCAACCGUGGAGGGUCAUUGGAAACUGG